rnacentral:rRNA from 1 species
CCUACGGGUGUCAGCAGUGGGGAAUAUUGGACAAUGGGGGGAACCCUGAUCCAGCGACGCCGCGUGAGUGAAGAAGUAUUUCGGUAUGUAAAGCUCUAUCAGCAGGGAAGAAAAUGACGGUACCUGACUAAGAAGCCCCGGCUAACUACGUGCCAGCAGCCGCGGUAAUACGUAGGGGGCAAGCGUUAUCCGGAUUUACUGGGUGUAAAGGGAGCGUAGACGGCGAUGCAAGCCAGAUGUGAAAGCCCGGGGCUCAACCCCGGGACUGCAUUUGGAACUGUAUAGCUGGAGUGUCGGAGAGGCAGGCGGAAUUCCUAGUGUAGCGGUGAAAUGCGUAGAUAUUAGGAGGAACACCAGUGGCGAAGGCGGCCUGCUGGACGAUGACUGACGUUGAGGCUCGAAGGCGUGGGGAGCAAACAGGAUUAGAUACCCCUGUAGUC